rnacentral:lncRNA from 1 species
CUGAGAAUCUGUUAUUUUCAUGAUACUGCGUUGCACUUAACCGCUCAGAGGAAUACAAAGAUCUGUAAGACUACCAGAGCCUGUCCUCAAAAAGCUAACAGCUUUUUGGUAAGAGGCUCCUGACUGAACGAAGUAGGCAACAGCACCUGAUCACCAGGACCCAAGGUCUCAGCAAGAUGGUACACCUGUGCCAAGGUGGAGACAGUGAUUAGUUGAGUUUUCAGAGCCUUUGCUGCUGCCUAGAAUUCUGGGCGCCCAAGCAUUGGGUGAGUGUCAGAACUGAGCAUAGAUAUUCACCUUCAGAGAAGAAUGCAGUUUCUUCAUUCUCCAUGGGAAGAGAAAUUCAUAGAUUUGUUAAAGACCAGUUAGAGCUCCAUUCAGAUCUUGUGAAGGCUUCAGGGGGCUUUUGAUGGGGAUACUGAAAUGAGGUGGUAAACGGGGGGGGGUAUUUAUUUUUUUACUCUUCUGCCCUAUUUUAUGAAUGAGAAACCUGAGGCUGACUCAAGGUUACGCUGCUGCUAAGGACAGAAUCAGGAUUUAAGCCUAGCACUUGUGACUCUAGAGCCUGCUGUCUUAAUUUUUAUAAUCCAUUCCUUUCUCAUUGCAGGUUAUAGUCUAAUUGUCACCUGCUACUUGUGGAAGGAAGAGAUGUUUGGCAUGGCACUGAUCAAUGUGUAUAUUUACUGGGAAGUUUACCCCAGGAGAAAAGAGAAAACCAGCUGUGUGAAUGGAAUUUGGAGAAAGCUCCUUGAUUUGAGGAAGACUGAACAAUGAAGGGACAUUCUCUGUGGCCAACUCUGGGUUGCAGAAGUGUCUCAAUAAAACAAAACAAAUAAAAAGCCA